GGUGUGGUGAGAAAGGACAUGUGCCGU
rnacentral:piRNA from 1 species